rnacentral:rRNA from 1 species
AGAAUCAACGCUGGCGGCGUGCCUCAGACAUGCAAGUCGAACGCGAAAGUUUCCUUCGGGAGGCGAGUAGAGUGGCGCACGGGUGAGUAACACGUAGGUAAUCUACCUUUGGAUGGGGAAUAACAACCGGAAACGGUUGCUAAUACCGCAUAAUGCAGCGGCACCUAAUGGUGACAGUUGUUAAAGCGGGGGAUCGAAAGACCUCGCGUCUGAAGAGGAGCCUGCGGCGGAUUAGCUAGUUGGUAAGGUAAUGGCUUACCAAGGCUACGAUCCGUAACCGG